UGAGCCUGUGCUCACACACUUAUCACGUAUAGACACAAUAACAAUACACGGAGUUAAAAAUUUAAAAAAGCAGCCAGGCAUGGUGGUGCACGCCUUUAAUCCCAGCACUUGAGAGGCAGAGGCAGGCAUAUCUCUGAAUUCGAGGCCAGCCUGGUCUACAGAGUGAGUUCCAGGACAGCCAGGGCAAUAUAGAGAAACCCUGUCUCGAAAAACCAAAAAAAAAAAAAAGCUAAAGAAUUCAAAGCUUAUAGAAAGGUUAGAGCUUUCUGAGAUGCAUGAGACCCAAUUUCAAAACAAAACAGAACAAAACAAAACAAAAAAAAGAAUGAAACCCUCAAAAAGCAAGAAAUCAAAGGCUGGCAAGGUGGCUCAGCAAUGUUUUACAGUUAUGAAGACGGGAGUUUAGAGCCCAGCAUCGGUGUAACAAGCUGGGUGUCUUUCACAUGGCUACAAACCCAUCUCUGAAGUGUGUGUGUUCAUAUGCAUGUGUGUGCAUGCGUGUGCAUGUGUGUGUGUAUAAGAAUCACCGAAUCACCUGGCCUUGCUGGCUUUUAGCAUAGCAGAACAAAUUUAAGACCCAAUUCUUAGAAAGACCCUGCCUCAAGGGAACAAAUGGAGAGAAAUAGAGGAGGUCACCCAGUGACCUCUUCUAGCCAACUACCAUGUGCACACACACAAACACACACCAACUAAUUGACUGACUAACUAACUAAUUGGGGGUUUGGAUAGGAAUGGUCACCAUAGACUCAUGUGUUUGAAGGCUAGAUCCAGAGGGAAUGACACUAUUAAGAAGUGUGGCCUUGUUGGAGGAAGUACGUCAUUGUGGGGAUCAGGCUUUAAAGUCUUAUAUGCUCAAGCUAUGCCCAGUGUGGCUCACAGUCUCCUGCUGCCUGCAGAUCGAGAACUCUCAGCUCCUUCUCCAGCACCACGUCUGCCUGAAUACCACCAUGUUUCCCAUCAUGAUGAUAACGGACUGAAUCCCUGAAACUAUAAGCCAGCCCCAAUUAAACGUUUUCCUUUAU
rnacentral:lncRNA from 1 species